GACAGAGGGUGCAAACGUUGUUCGGAAUUACUGGGCGUAAAGCGCGUGUAGGCGGCUUGGCAAGUCGGGUGUGAAAGCCCUGGGCUCAACCUAGGAAGUGCACUCGAAACUGCUUCGCUCGAGUACCGGAGAGGAAAGCGGAAUUCUCGGUGUAGAGGUGAAAUUCGUAGAUAUCGAGAGGAACACCAGUGGCGAAGGCGGCUUUCUGGACGGUAACUGACGCUGAGACGCGAAAGCGUGGGGAGCAAACAGGAUUAGAAACCCCAGUAGUCC
rnacentral:rRNA from 1 species